AGAGUUUGAUCCUGGCUCAGGAUGAACGCUGGCGGCGUGCUUAACACAUGCAAGUCGAACGAAGCACUUUUACAGAUUUCUUCGGAAUGAAGUUUUAGUGACUGAGUGGCGGACGGGUGAGUAACGCGUGGGUAACCUGCCUCACACAGGGGGAUAACAGUUGGAAACGGCUGCUAAUACCGCAUAAGCGCACAGUACCGCAUGGUACAGUGUGAAAAACUCCGGUGGUGUGAGAUGGACCCGCGUCUGAUUAGCUAGUUGGCAGGGCAACGGCCUACCAAGGCGACGAUCAGUAGCCGACCUGAGGGGGUGACCGGCCACAUUGGGACUGAGACACGGCCCAAACUCCUACGGGAGGCAGCAGUGGGGAAUAUUGCACAAUGGGGGAAACCCUGAUGCAGCGACGCCGCGUGAGCGAAGAAGUAUUUCGGUAUGUAAAGCUCUAUCAGCAGGGAAGAAAAAAUGACGGUACCUGACUAA
rnacentral:rRNA from 1 species